UUCUUUCCUUCUUUAGAUCUCUCUCAAAUUCUUUAAAUAUUCUUAUUUUUCUUCUUUUUUCUUUCUUUCUCUAAUAGUAAUAAAGAGGCCAUGCCCGUUUUAAGUAUUUUAACUCCCGAUCACCGCUACCCUUUCCGAUUGAUCUGAGCCUCAUAACUUAUGUCAGGGCUCUGCCCGACUAAGUUGAUUGGGAUUCUGUCUCGGGAUUUCGGGACAAGGUUGAAUUAGCGGUACUAUACUUACCACAAGUGCAAUAUAUAUUUUUUUAAUAGCCCAAAAGUUAUACCCAACAUUUAUACCAGGAGAUUUUCUAAUUGAACCCUAAAGUUAUAAAGUGGGUCCAUUCUCUUUUCUCACCAUCUUAUUUCCUUUUUUGUGAUUUACCCAAAACUAUUAUUUAUUAUUCUAUUUUGUAAACAACUCUCAUCAAAAGUCAUACUUAUUAUUUUAUUUUCCCAAUAGGAAACCCUAGUUGAGACACCCAAGUAAUCCUGCACCACUCCUAAAAUUUUCAGAAUACCCAGAAUCAGGAUCAGGGCCCCUAAAACUCAGGGGGGAGUAUUCCCUACUCGACGAUUAUCCACAUAUCUUGCUGUCAAAUUCGAGAAUAUCAAUUCCGUCGACUCAGCUGAACUCCAAACACACGUGGCAACCAUAUGAGAUAAGGUGACCCCUCGCGCCACGCGACGCCCAAGGGGGUACCCCUCGCGUCACGCGAGGGGGGUCAAAUUUUGUGUAUAAAUAGGGGUGUUUGGGACUUGAUUUCUGGAGUUGGAACGACGGAAAAAUUCGUCUUACACUUCGAGUUAUAGCCGUUUUACUACCAAACACACACAAUCCCGAAACGCUGCUACGAUACAGGGUAUUUACUCGAUCGCUGCUACGAUUCAAUGUCCGACCGAUCUAAACUAUCCGAUGAAUGUUUAAGUAAUUACAGUAGAUCGGAAUAAGAGUUGGAUACGGCACCAAAAAGGCUUACAGAAAUGGCUUGAUUUAUCAAUUAAAUAAAAAUUAAGAAAAGUUGUUUUAUGUAAUCAAGU
rnacentral:lncRNA from 1 species